GACGAACGCUGGCGGCGCGCUUAACACAUGCAAGUCGAACGGAAAGGCCUGCUUUCCCUUGUGGAUUGCGGGUACUCGAGUGGCGAACGGGUGAGUAACACGUGAGUGAUCUGCCCCCAACUUGGGUAUAAGCCUGGGAAACUGGGUCUAAUUCCCGAUAGGACUGCAGGGUGGUGCCUGUGGUGGAAAACGAUUUUCUAGUGGUUGGGGAUGAGCUCGCGGCUUAUCAGCUUGUUGGUGGGGUAAUGGCCUACCAAGGCGGCGACGGGUAGCCGGCCUGAGAGGGUGGACGGCCACAUUGGGACUGAGAUACGGCCCAGACUCCUACGGGAGGCAGCAGUGGGGAAUAUUGCACAAUGGGCGGAAGCCUGAUGCAGCGACGCCGCGUGGGGGAUGACGGCCUUCGGGUUGUAAACUCCUUUCGACCGCGAGGAAGCCACCUGGUUGGAAGGGUGGUGACGGUAGUGGUAGAAGAAGCACCGGCUAACUACGUG
rnacentral:rRNA from 1 species